rnacentral:lncRNA from 1 species
UUUUCAUCGAGUUUGUUUGAGUGCUGUUGGGGCGAAUAAUCUCGGAGAUGAGUCAGUCUUACAUCUAAGGAGCAAAUAUGCCUUUUUGUUUUGUGCCUCAAUGCAGUCAUUCCAGCGCCAGGUCCCAGUCCAAGUGCUCCUUCUUCCGAUUGCCCCGGGACGAGGGGGAGUUGAAGAAAUGGACUACACUGAUGAGGAGACAAGAUGCAAAGCCCAAUGAGCAUUCAAGAGUGUGCUCUUGUCAUUUUAGGAAUGGCAAGAAAGAAGCUGGUCCAACCCUAUUUGCUUGGAAUGACUUCAAGAGAAGGUUAUCGGCCGUCGUCCAAACGGUGCGCGCGGGCCCUCAUCUUGUCCGACGGCGCGCCCACUUCGCGACUGGCUCCGACCUCGCUUGGCGUUGGUACAAGAGCUGCCGGGAGUCGCCCUGCGUCCUCGUCGGGGAGCCGAGAUUCCGGGCGGGCCGACUCCAACGUUUCCACACGAUAUCGCUUUGAUAGCCAGAACGGCCUACGACGUUCCACGGCGCACGCCCACCCGGAGCUGGCGGCCGCCCUGCCGUGACGGUCGCACGCCGCUGUACCUGGCCGUACUGCAGCCCACCCGGAGCUGGCGGCCGCCCUGCCGUGACGGUCGCACGCCGCUGUACCUGGCCGUACUGCAGGGCUGGCGGCCGCCCUGCCGUGACGGUCGCACGCCGCUGCACCCGGCCGUACUGCAACCCACCCGGAGCUGGUGUCGCAGAUGCCAAGCUGCGAGAUGACGGGGGUUAUCGGCCGUCGUCCAAACGGUGCGCGCGGGCCCUCAUCUUGUCCGACGGCGCGCCCACUUCGCGACUGGCUCCGACCUCGCUUGGCGUUGGUACAAGAGCUGCCGGGAGUCGCCCUGCGUCCUCGUCGGGGAGCCGAGAUUCCGGGCGGGCCGACUCCAACGUUUCCACACGAUAUCGCUUUGAUAGCCAGAACGGCCUACGACGUUCCACGGCGCACGCCCACCCGGAGCUGGCGGCCGCCCUGCCGUGACGGUCGCACGCCGCUGUACCUGGCCGUACUGCAGCCCACCCGGAGCUGGCGGCCGCCCUGCCGUGACGGUCGCACGCCGCUGUACCUGGCCGUACUGCAGGGCUGGCGGCCGCCCUGCCGUGACGGUCACACGCCGCUGCACCCGGCCGUACUGCAACCCACCCGGAGCUGGUGUCGCAGAUGCCAAGCUGCGAGAUGACGGGGGUUAUCGGCCGUCGUCCAAACGGUGCGCGCGGGCCCUCAUCUUGUCCGACGGCGCGCCCACUUCGCGACUGGCUCCGACCUCGCUUGGCGUUGGUACAAGAGCUGCCGGGAGUCGCCCUGCGUCCUCGGCGGGGAGCCGAGAUUCCGGGCGGACCGACUCCAACGUUUCCACACGAUAUCGCUUUGAUAGCCAGGUUUCUUUCAAUGAUUAUUUCUGUAAUCGGUCACGAGGCGAAUCCUCGUUGAGCCUAAUUUGUUCUCCAGUCUGCCAAGUCUGGUUUGCUUUGUUGAUGACUUUGUGGUGUGAACGUGCCAAACCACAUGCUGUACUAUUAAAGGGUGUCAAAUAAAAAAACGAGUUAUGCUUAA